rnacentral:rRNA from 1 species
GACGAACGCUGGCGGCGUGCUUAACACAUGCAAGUCGAACGGUGAAACGCCUUCCUUUUUGGUGGGUGUGGAUGAGUGGCGAACGGGUGAGUAACACGUGAGUAACCUGCCCCCUUCUUCUGGAUAACCGCAUGAAAGUGUGGCUAAUACGGGAUAUUCUGGGUCUGUCGCAUGAUGGGUCUGGGAAAGAUAUUGUUUCGGUGGGGGAUGGGCUCGCGGCCUAUCAGCUUGUUGGUGGGGUGAUGGCCUACCAAGGCGGUGACGGGUAGCCGGCCUGAGAGGGUGGACGGUCACACUGGGACUGAGACACGGCCCAGACUCCUACGGGAGGCAGCAGUGGGGAAUAGUGCACAAUGGGCGCAAGCCUGAUGCAGCGACGCCGCGUGAGGGAUGGAGGCCUUCGGGUUGUGAACCUCUUUCGCCAGUGAAGCAGGCCUGCCUCGUUUGUGGGUGGGUUGACGGUAGCUGGAUAAGAAGCGCCGGCUAACUACGUG